UGACGGAGCGUGGGGCUCCUCACCGGGAGACCGCGCAGGCCCCCCUUUGCCAGUUCGGCCGGGGGCGCUAAGUGAGGUUCUUCACCCUCGAUCUGUGGAAUGUACGCGAGAGAGCAAACGCACAAGACACGGGCGAUGUAGACAGGUUCGGGCCGCUGAGAAGCGUAAUACCCUACUCCUGUGUUCUGGUGGAUAUGUGUGAGGAAGAGUUACAGAGAGUCGGGGAGCAAGAGAGUUCAAGCUCUAGAACCCCUCUUUUUCCUUCUCUUCUGGUUCUUUUUUCUCUCGAUCUCCUCCCCCAGCUCAAGUCUUCUCAGAGUUGUCCCCCCUUUUCUUUGUGGGCAAGGUCCUCCUUUUAUAUCUCAAGGGGAUACCACAUGCACCACUUCUACCUACUCUUCUUUUGGGUGGGGACCCACCCUAUCUUGACCAAAUCUUGACACGCACCUCCGCCUGGAAGCUAAAUCAACGCCUGUCCUUGAGUGAUGCCCAGCGCCGUCACUCGUCAGACACAGGGGAUCACCCUGUCAUUUCUUCAUUAAUGGGCGGAGUUUUGCAAUGGCCGCUGUCCGAAUGACCCUCCGAUGGGAUGGGUCAUACCUGCCUCCACUCCGCUGGAAGCUGAUGCAACAUGAGAGCACGGUUGUCUGCCGAUGACGUGACCGGCGUCGGACCAGUGACAGACCGGUCAUUCUUGUCCACCACGUGUCAGUUUAGCAUGCCACACAUCUGCCCUUCUUCAUACAGUGACUUCCUUGCAAUGGUUGCGAUGAAGCCUGGCAUGAAUCGAGCCGGGACUGAUGUGCUAACUCCAGGAGUUACCACGCUGGCUCCAGCUAGGGACGAGUGCCAAGAGGCUCUCAUCAUUCCGACGGGACGGGGCGAGGCGUGUGACAGUCCGCCUGCUGCCACCUAACCCGCGAUCUGACCGGUCUGUGACCGAUCACACACUGCGACCGGUCACGGACCGGAUAUGCGUGCGCCGUGCUGCAUUAAAUGCGGCGUGGCGCGCUUGUCCAUUCCGCAAUAAAUGUGGUUUGGUGAGCGCCGCUGUGCCCACCUAACUCACAAACAUGGCGCCAAUACCACAGGGGGUCGGGGCACCCCAGCCCUCGGGGCCGAAGCAGGAGCGGCCCGACCCCUCGGGAAGACAGAGGAGGGGUGGCCACGUCUCCCUCAGGCCCGACCCCCCCCCCCCCGAGGGGGUUAGGCCACGUGGGUGACUGCGGCUGCCCAAGCCUCUAGUCAUGAUACCCCCGAUCCCAUGUCACCGACAGUAGCCCCCGGCGUUAUGCCAGGGCGAUCGCCCCCCUCGAGGGAAGCGCUCGGGCGUGACGCCACUCCUUAGGUCUGGUGACAGGUGGGACCGGUCUCUACAGGUGGGCAGGAACCCAGCGGUCGCAAAUCGCGCGCAUCGGCUAGGGAAAAAACGACCGAUAAUAAUGAGUGGCCUCUUCAAGACCGCUACAUUUCUCGAAAUAGCGCGCGAAUCGGGACGAGCCGGUUCAUUUCGCCUGGAGAUAUGAUGAUGGCGCUUCGGUCGGCGAGCGUAGUUAACGCGCGCACGAUAUGUCUCAUCUCGACUGCCACGGCCGCACAUCCGCCUCGUGCGCCGCAAAAGGGCGAGUGGGAUUAGUGGAGGCGUGGGCGCGAGAAACGAGGGGGCGAGAUAGUGGGCGCGGGAAACGAGGAGCCGGGAAUAGCGUUGGCAAGGGUAUAAGGGCGCCAAGGAAGAGAUUCGUUUCCUUCCUCUCGCCAUUAUUCCCCUUGCCUUCGCCGCUUGCGCCCUAACUCCUUGUUUCCUGUGCCCUACCCUUGCCGCACUCACUCGUUCUCAAGUUCCUCCUCCGCCGGCGUCAUGGCACGGGGCUCCGCACCGCUCGACGGUAGCGUGCUGCCGCCUUCCCGCAUCGUGAGCGAGAGGCAGGCCGGGCUGCCGCGCCGAUUCAUGCCGGAAUCUACCGCCGGUCGGGAGGUGGUCGAGCUGGGCGAGGGACGCCCGGCACCACACUACCCGGGGCGGUCCGUCUUCUUCCUCCCUUUCGCAAUGGCAGGGCUGGUCCCGCCAUUCUCUUCUUUCUUCAUGGAUGUUCUGGAGUUUUAUGAUCUCCAAAUGGCGCACCUCACCCCCAACGCGGUAAUGACGUUGGCCAUCUUCGCGCACCUGUGCGAGAUGUUUAUCGGGGUGCGCCCAUCUCUUCGGCUGUUCCGGUGGUUCUUCACCGUACAGCUAGUGUCGCCGCCGUCGGUAGUUGGUGGCUGCUACUUCCAGCCGCGGGGGCCGGUGCUGAGCCACUACAUUCCCUGCGUCCUCCGCAAGAAGUGGGACGACUGGAAGAGCGACUGGUUCUACACCCCCCUCGCCGACGAAGCGCGCCUCCGACUUCCGAGCCAGCCCCCAGCGCAGGUCUCCAGCUGGCGGGCGCCGGUAGAUCUGGGAGACGGCUACGACGCCGUUCUUGACCGCCUGGCGGGUCUGCGAUCCCAGGGGCUCAUGGGGGCCAUGGUGUACGGCGACUACCUUCGUCGCCGGAUUGCGCCGCUCCAGCGGCGCGCCCGGGGCGCCUGGGAGUACACCGGGUCCGAAGACUACAUGAGGACCCACCAGGGGGUCAGAUGGGACUGGGCCCCUGAGGACUUCAAGAUAGUGGUCCAACGGGUGCUGAAUCUCAGCUCCGUGGAGGCAUCCCUCAUCCCCCAAGGAGUCCUCCCCCUCUGCAGCGAUCCAGAUCGCGCCACCAUCCUGACCAUCAUGCAGGCGGUCGGGGCGUCGGAGGAGCGGGCUCCUGGAGGCCACGAUGGCGCGGGCGGGAGCCGCAGGGGGGAACAAUCUACCCCGGGAGGGGGUCGUGCUUCUGGGCCCCGCGACGGGGGCCCGGGGAGCGGCCGCCCCGCCGACGCCCGGGGGAAAAGAAAGCAGGAAGGAACCCCUUCCCCAUCUCCUCCCCGAGGGGGCGGGGCGGCGCGUGCCAGCAGCAGGCGCCCGGAGGGUGCCGUGCCGUCGUCGCAGCCCGAGGGGGAGCGAAAGAAGAAGCGGCUCCGCAAGAUGGGGGAGACCGAACCAUGCCGGGGAAACCUUAUCUCCCCCCCAAGGUGGUCGUUUAGCCGACCUCCUCGCAGGUUCGUCCCCGCGCCCACUGCGGCCGUAUUCAUUCUCCCAUCUCCCAAGGCAAGUUUUCACUCACCCGUUUCUUUUUGUCUUCUGGUUUUUCUUCUGCCUCAGCGAGAUUCCAUCACGCCCCCCCCCCCGCCAUUCCAAGUCCGGCCAGUCCGAGGCCGUGGAGACGGCGACCGCGGAGGCCCGGAGGCGGGAGGCUGAACGGCGAGAAGCCGCAGACCGCCUCCGAGAAGCCGAGGAAGCUGCCCAGGAGGCCGUCCGGGUUCGCCGGGCUGAGGAAGCCGCUCGGGAGGAAGCCAAACUCCGCCGGGCCGAGGAUUCCGUCCGGGAGGCGGAGAAGGCGCGCGCACGCCAAGCGGCCUGCCAAGCCCCCGACCCGACUCCGCCCGAGGCGACCACGACUUCCGAGGCCACCCACGACGAGGCCGCGGGCGCACUGCUCGGGCCCGACCCCUCGGGCGACGCACGGGACGUGCCAGCUUCGGGGGACGCCCCCGAGUCCGGCACGUCGAUUGGCGGGCCGUGCCACGCGGCGCCCGCACCGAGGCGGCUCUCCCCUAUGCCUUCCGCUGCCCCACUGAACGCGGAGCCCCUCCUGCAGGCCUUAGCCGCCGCAAACACCACGGUGCUGGACGGGCUAGGUGCCCAGAUGGAGGUCCUGCAGGCAGAGUGGACAUAGCUCAACGCGGCGUGGGCACGCGUCGAGGAGGGGCGGCGCUCGGUGGAAGCCAUGGUGGAAGCGGGCCGCAAGGCACACCGCCGACACGCCUCAGAGCUCAAGGCCCGUCGGAGGGAGCUGGCAGAGAUCGCCAGGGAGGUGGAGGAGGAGCGGGAGACUGCCCUCAUCGCCACCGCCGUGCUCAACGAGGCGCGGGACGAUCUCCACCUCCAAUACGGGAGCCGGGCGGCGGAGCUAAAGAAGAAACUCGAUGCCGCCCGGGGAGUCCUUGACGCCGCCGCUGCACGGGAACGGCGGGCGGCGGAGAACGAGACGGCGUCCCGGCGGCGCGAAGAGGCCCUUGAGGCUCGUGCCAAAGCGCUGGAAUAGCGCGCACGCGCGAGGGAGAAGGACCUGGCGGACCGCGAGGCCGCCAUCGCCAUCCGGGAGGCAACGCUGGCGGCGCAUGAGGCCGCCUGCGCCGAAGAGGAGUCAGCACUCCGCCUCCGCGAGGACGUGCUCACCGAGCGAGAGCAAGCUCUCGAGGAGGCCGAGGCCGCGGCGCAGCGACUGGCGGACAACCUGUCCCUCCGCGAGACAGCGCGGGAGGAGCAGGUGCGCCGCAAUCUGGAAAGCGCCCGCGCCGAGAGGGCCGCACUGGAUCAGCGGGCCGCUGAGCUCGAGGCGCGGGUAAAGGAGCUGGACGCAAGGGCGCGUAGCGGCGGGGCGGCCGCGGGCGACAGCGACCUAGCCGCCCGCCUCGCAGCUGCCGAACACACCAUCGCCGAUCUGCAGGGCGCGUUGGACUCGUCCGCCGGGGAGGUCGAGGCCCUCCGCUUGGCAGGCGAGGUAGGGCCCAGCAUGCUUCGGGACGCCGUCUCCCGUCUAGACCGCGCCGGGCGACAGGCGGGCCUCUGGGGCGAGCGGACCGCGAAGUAUGCCGCCAACCAGGGGGGCCUCGCCCAACGCCUUUCAGAGAUGGCCGGGACCCUCCAGCGGCUCCCCGAGGAGCUCGAGGAGACGAUCAAGUCAUCCUCGAGGGACCUCGCCCGGGGGGCGGUGGAGCUCGUACUGGCAAGCUACCAGGCCAGGGACCCGGACUUCUCCCCGUGGGCAGCGCUGGACGAGUUUCCUCCCGGGACCGAGGACGACGCGCGCGUGCAGGUCCGGGACGCCGCUGACCACAUCGUCCACAGCUUCGAGGGUACGGCCCCCCGGCUCGCGUUCGCCCUCGACUCCGAUGAAGAGGGCGGUGACGGCGGUGACGAGGCCGGCGACCCGGGCGUGUCGGAAUGAGCUCCCAGGCCCCUGCCAAUCUUUAUAUAGUUUUUUCUUUCUUCUUCCGAGGCCUUCGGGCCCCCUUCUUGUGUAGACUAACUUAAUCUGCAAUCAAAUAAAGAGGAAAUUUUUUGCGUCAAUUCUAUUUGUUGUGUGUAUGAGACGAGGAUGGUCUGUGCCGCGGUCCUUCUGUGUCUUGGCUUGAACAAGGGCUCGUGCCCAGGUCCCAGCCUCAAACGGCGCGGGUCGGGGCUAGUGCCUGGGGAGAUCCACAUGUCGAGACUGGCCAGGCCGGGAGCGUGGUGACCGAGGGUUAUGGGUGACCCGAUUGUGGGCCUUUGCCGAUUCCCCCCCGGAGUUCACCACGCCCCGGGGCACGGCUCGGUUCUGGGCCCCUUUUGGCGAUUUUAGCCGGCCCGGGCCACCGAGGGCAGGAUCGAGCACGAGCGUGCUAAUUCAAGUCAAGAUUCAGCAAAAGGAAACAAUGGCACAGACACAGUCCUUAGGAAAUCAAAAAUGCUUUUAUUGAAAUACAGAAGAGAAAAAAGACAAUUAUCUGUAUGUGGUAGCCCCCGGCCAACUCUGCACGCCUGAGGGGGGUGCGGGGUUGGCCCGAGCCCGAGACCUGACACCCGACCCCCACUAGGGGUAGAAGCGACGAAGGUGUUCGAUGUUCCACGAGUUAGGCAGCUCUGUGCCGUCGCCCGUGGCCAGCCGAACUGAGCCCGGCCGGGGGACGCCGAUCACUCGAUACGGACCCUCCCACAUUGGUGAGAGCUUGCUCAAUCCAGCACGCGUUUGGACGCGGCGUAGGACGAGGUCGUCGACGCAGAGUGAUCGGGCCCGGACGUGGCGCUGAUGGUAGCGCCGCAGGCUCUGCUGGUAGCGCGCGGCUCGGAGGGCCGCGCGCCGCCUUCGCUCUUCCAAGUAGUCGAGGUCAUCUCUGCGAAGCUGAUCUUGAUCAGCCUCGCAAUACAUGGUGGCCCGAGGGGACCUCAGGGUGAGCUCAGAUGGGAGAACCGCCUCCGCGCCGUAGACGAGGAAGAAAGGCGUUUCCCCAGUUGCUCGGCUUGGCGUGGUUCGGUUUGCCCAGAGCACCGCUGGCAACUCCUCGAUCCACGAGUCGUCGUGCUUCUUGAGGAUGUUGAAGGUCUUGGUUUUGAGGCCCUUAAGGAUUUCCGCGUUGGCGCGUUCCACUUGGCCGUUGCUUCUGGGAUGGGCGGGUGAGGCGAAGCAGAGAUUGAUGCCCAUGUCUUCGCAGUAGUCACCGAAGAGUUCACUAGUGAACUGGGUGCCGUUAUCCGUAAUGAUACGGUUAGGCACCCCAAACCGAGCAGUGAUGCCCCUGAUGAAUUUAAGCGCGGAGUGCUUAUCGAUCUUGAUGACCGGAUAAGCCUCGGGCCACUUAGUGAAUUUGUCGACAGCGACAUACAGAUACUCGAACCCGCCCGGGGCCCGCCUAAACGGACCCAAGAUAUCGAGCCCCCAGACAGCAAAUGGCCACGAAAGAGGUAUGAUCUGCAGGGCCUGGGCCGGCUGAUGGGUUUGCCUGGCGUGGAACUGGCACGUCCUGCACCGCCGAACCAAGUCGACCGCAUCGUUGAGAGCCGUUGGCCAAUAGAAACCCUGGCGAAAGGCCUUCCCAACCAAGGUGCGUGAGGCGGAGUGGGCUCCGCACUCGCCUUCAUGGAUAUCGGCAAGAAGCUCGACGCCUUGUUCCCGAGGAAUGCACUUCAGGAGGACUCCGUUAGCCGCGCGCUGAUAGAGGGUCCCUUCUACCAGCACAUAGCGCUUGGAGAUGCGCUGGAAGCGUUCACUCCCUUCGCGGUCCUCGGGUAGAGUCUUAUCUAUGAGGUACACCUGGAUCUCAGUGAUCCAAGCAAUCGAUCUAAGGGAGCUGGGAGCGCUCCCUUCAGGUCCCGAGGCCUGGACUCCGACGGGCCUCGGGGGCCGUUCAGGCUCGUCCGUCUCCCCUAGGGGGUCGGGUCGCGCCGACGGCUGGGCAAGCCUUUCUUCAAAGGCGCCCGGUGGGGUCUGGGCUCGCGAGGAAGCGAGCCUUGAGAGCUCGUCGGCGACCGCGUUAUCCCGUCUGGGCACGUGCCGAAGCUCUAUCCCGUCGAAAUGGCGCUCCAUACGCCGCACCUGGCGCACGUAAGCGUCCAUCUGCGGGUCAGAGCACCGGUACUCCUUACAGACCUGGUUAACGACCAGUUGGGAGUCGCCUAACACCAGGAGGCGGCGGAUCCCCAGUCCAGCUGCCACCCUGAGUCCCGCAAGGAGUCCCUCGUACUCUGCCAUAUUGUUGGUCGCCCGAAAGUCGAGGCGGACCAGGUAUCUGAGGACGUCUCCGCUCGGCGAGGUCAAUGUGACCCCCGCACCGGCACCCUGAAGAGACAGGGACCCGUCGAACUGCAUCACCCAGAAGGCGGUGUGAGGCAGCUGCGAGGGGCCCGAGCUGGCCUCAGGGACGGAGACGGGCUCGGGAGCUGGGGUCCACUCUACCACAAAGUCGGCGAGGGCCUGGCUCUUGAUCGCGUGGCGUGGUUCAAAGUGCAAAUCGAACUCAGAGAGUUCGAUUGCCCAUUUCACCGCCCGUCCAAUACCCUCUCGGUUAUGCAAGAUUUGGCCGAGGGGGUAAGACGUAACCACUGUGACCCGAUGCGCCUGGAAAUAAUGGCGCAACUUCCUCGAGGCCAUCAGGAUAGCGUAAAGCAUCUUCUGGGCCUGAGGGUAUCGGGUCUUGGCGUCCCAGAGGGCCUCACUAACGAAGUAGACGGGCCGCUGCACCUUUCGGCGGGGCCGAUCCUCUUCGCCAGCCGUAUCUCCAGGGCGCUUUUCGUCCGAGAGGCCGCGCGGGGCGUACUCGGCUUCUGUGUCGACGACCUCGGGGUCGGAGGGCGACAGGCGCGGCCUUCCCGCAGUGGCCCCGGGGCCAUCCUGGGGGUCGGGGGCGCCUGUCACCGUCGGACAAGCGGGCAGAGGGCCAGCUCCGGUCGUCGGGGGCCUCGGGCCGCCGUUCGGCUCGGGGGCCUCUCCUCCCUGCUCUCUCCCGGGUCGAGUCGACACAGGGCGCUCUUUGUCCGAGAGGCCGCGCGGGGCACACUCGGCUUCUGUGCCGACGACCUCGGGGUUAGAGGGCGACAAACGCGGCCUUCCCGCAGUGGCCCCGGGGCCAUCCUGGGGGUCGGGGGCGCCUGGUACCGUCGGACAAGCGGGCAGAGUGCCAGCUCCGGUCGUCGGGGGCCUCGGGCCGCCGUUCGGCUCGGAGGCCUCUCCUCCCUGCUCUCUCCCGGGUCGAGUCGACACAGGGUGGGGGUGUGCGGAGCGAGGGUCGUCCUCGUCGCGCUCCACGACCAACGCCGAGCUGACCACCUGCGGGGUUGCCGCCAGGUAAAGUAGCAACGGUUCAUCUGGUUUCGGGGCGACUAGGACCGGGGGAGAACUGAGGUACGCCUUCAACUGAGUGAGGGCCCGUUCAGCCUCCUCCGUCCAAGUAAACGGCCCGGAACGUUUGAGGAGCUUAAAUAGGGGUAGCGCCUUCUCUCCCAGCCUCGAUAUGAACCGAAUUAGGGCGGCCAUGCAACCAGUGACGCAUUGCACAUCCCUAAGUUUGCUGGGGGGGGCGCAUCCGCUCUAUAGCUUGUAUCUUCUCGGGGUUGGCCUCGAUGCCUCGGGCAGUGACCAAGAACCCGAGAAGCUUGCCCGCAGGCACGCCGAACACGCACUUGUCGGGGUUCAGCUUUAUGCGGGCGGAGCGGAGACUUUCGAAAGUUUCCGCUAGAUCCGAGAGUAAGGUCUCUUGGUUGCGCGUCUUCACAACCAAGUCAUCAACAUAAGCCUCAACGUUGCGUCCUAACUGGCUACCCAAAGAAAUUCGAGUAGUAUGUUGAAAAGUAGGACCUGCAUACUUUAACCCGAACGGCAUUGUCGUAUAACAAUAAGUUCCUAUGGGGGUGAUGAAUGCAGUUUUUUCCUCAUCCUCCCUAGCCAUGCGAAUCUGAUGAUAACCAGAGUAUGCAUCUAGAAAACACAAAAGGUCGCACCCCGCGGUGGAGUCGACAAUCUGAUCUAUACGUGGCAAGGGAUAAGGGUCCUUAGGACAUGCCUUGUUAAGGUCGGUGUAGUCAAUGCACAUCCGAAGCUUGCCGUUCGCCUUGGGAACGACGACCGGGUUCGCCAGCCACUCCGGAUGGAUGACCUCACGGAUGAAUCCGGCUUCCAGAAGUCGCGCCACCUCCUCGCGGAUGAAGGCUUGACGUUCCGGGGCCUGCCGCCGUACUUUCUGCCGGACCGGCCUUGCGCCCGGCCGCACGGCGAGACGGUGCUCAAUCACCUCCCUGGGGACCCCGGGCAUGUCCGCCGGUCUCCAGGCGAAGACGUCGGCGUUUGCCCGCAGGAAGGAGACGAGCGCGUCUUCCUAUUUGUCGUUCAGAAGACCACCGAUUCAUGUGGUCUUAGACAGGCCGUCACCCAGGGCAACCUUCUUGACCGGGACCUCGUCGCACGUGAUCAUCCGUUGCCUCGGGGCGGCCGGGACGGAGGCGCUGAGCCUCUCGUCGCCACCCUCGGGCUUGGACGCCGCGGCGAGCUGGUUCGCGCGCUGCUCCAUACAAGCAAGCGCGACUUGGAGGUCGCCAUGGACGGUGAUGGGGCCACCAGGGCCCGGCAUCUUCAUCUGGAGAUAGGCGUAGUGGACUGCCGCCAUGAACUUCACCAACGCGGGUCUCCCCAGGACCGCGUUGUAGGGCAGACUGAGAUCCGCCACAUCGAAGUUCACCCGCUCCGUGCGGAAGUUGGCGGAACCACCGAAGGUGACCGGGAGGUCGAUAUGACCUAGCGGCCAAGUGUGCCCCGGCGUCACACCGAUGAUCGGCUGGGAUGGCUGGAGCACCAUCCCUGGGGCCUUGAUGGCGUCAAAGGCUGCGGGGGAAAGGAUGUUGAGAGCUGCACCCCCGUAUAUGAGGACAUGCCCCAACUUCACAUUGCAAAUAGUGGGGGAAACCACCAUCGCGAUCUGUCCUCCCCGGGCAACGCACGGCGGGUGGUCGGUCUGGUCGAAGGUGAGGGCCACCUCCGACCAUCGCGCCCGCCGCGUCGCCUCAUGGGUAGGGGCCGCGGCCAGAAGCUCUCGCUUCAUGGCCUUGAGGCUCCGGCGAGAAGCAUGAGCACACGCUCCCCCAUCGACAGUGGCAACUGUGGCCUGAGGCUCCUGGAACCCCAGGUUAUCGUCGCCAUCGUCGACAUCCUCGGCGGGGGCCUUCUGCUUGGCCUCACCUCGCCGGUUGCCGGCGGGGGCCGCCGGGGCCUUGCCCUCACGGCGCUCCUGCCUCCUCUCCUCCUCCCACUUCCUCGUCCGCUCAGCCAAACUUUUGACCGCGCGGCAGUCCGCGAGGUCGUGGAGGGAGGUGUUGUGCACGGAGCACCACUUGCCGGUCGGGCGCUCCCUGCUGGGAGCUUCGGCCUCCUUCUUUCUGUCGCUCGCAGGCCUCCCCUUUCGGGUGGCCCGCGAAGCGCCCUCGACGGUGAGGACGUGCCCCUCGUCGUCGGAAAAGGCCAACCUCUUCUUCCUCCUCCUGUCCUGCCGCCCUGACCGAGCGGCGGACCCGGGGACGGCCGGAGCUGCCACACCGGAACCGGAGGAGUUCCAGGUCCAGGCCUCCUCCUUGCGAGCCACACGGUCCGCAAGCUGAAAAAGCUCCGCGGUGGUCUGGGGCUCCUUGGAGGCGAUCUUUUCGAGCAUGCGAUUGUGCCGCACGCCCCCCCUGAACGCGUAGAUCACCACGUGUGCGGGGAUGCACGGUAUAGUGUUGCGGACUUGACAGAACCGCUGAAUGUACGAGCGAAGAGACUCAUCGUCCCCUCGCUGUACCGCGUGCAAGUCCGCUUCUUCACCUGGGCGCGGAUAUGUGCCCUGGAAGUUCAUGGUGAACUGCUGGCACAAAUCCUCCCAAGAGUGUACCGACGCGGGUGGCAAGUUCAUCAGCCAACCCCGCGCCUGACCUUUCAGGACCAUGGGGAAGAAAUUCGCCAUGACCCUGUCGUCACCCCCGGCGGCCUCAAUCCCGGUCGUAUAGAUCUGGAGAAACUCGGCAGGGUUGACGCUUCCGUCGUAUUUUUCGGUGAUGGUGGGCCGGAACCUUGGGGGCCAACGGACGUUCCGAAGGCUCGCCACAAAGGCUCGACAGCCGGCACCGCCAACCGGGGACAUGGGAGGCUGGCCCCCAUGCCCGGACUGAAGUGGCGCUCCGGACGAGGAAGCGCCCUUCGUUGCGUGGGCAGCACGACGACCAUUGCGUCGGCGCUCAAUAUUGAGGCGGGCAUCCGGCCCCCCACGCACAUCUUCUUUGGUCGGAGGCGUCGACGAGGGAAUAGCGGACGAACGGCGGGUAACGGCCGCCGCUCGCCGCGCCCUCCGCCUCGACGACAUGAAGCCGGUGGUAGCAGUGCCAGAGGCCUUGGGGGCGAAGGACCGCCCGCCGGCGCCUAGGCGCUGCUGCGCCGUCAUGACCAAGUUGGCCACAUCAUCCAGCCAACGUCGAGCUGGAGUCUCUGGAUCGGGGACGACGGGCGGGUGACGCAGAAGCGCGCCCGCAGCCUGGAGCGCGCCCUGGGGCGUGCUGCCAUCGCCGUAGACGAGGAGGCGACGCUCCCCGUCUCGCCGUCCUUCUCCAUCACCCGUGGGUGACGAAGUCGCGGAUCUUUCGAUCCCCUCGAGCGCCUCCUCCCGCCCAAGACUUCGGCGAAAGGGGGACGGUGGAGUACGAGCUCGACGGCGCGGGUUCUGCUCCCUGUCGUCACCGCUAGCGCUCGGAGAGAGGUUGUGCGCCACUGCCCGUUCGGCCAUUGGGCUGAGCGGGAGAAACUUGGCGCACACGAAAGAGGAUAAGGGCUUAGAAAAGCGCACGCGCCCCCUACCUGGCGCGCCAGAUGACGGAGCGUGGGGCUCCUCACCGGGAGACCGCGCAGGCCCCCCUUUGCCGGUUCGGCCAGGGGCGCUAAGUGAGGUUCUUCACCCUCGAUCUGUGGAAUGUACGCGAGAGAGCAAACGCACGAGACACGGGCGAUGUAGACAGGUUCGGGCCGCUGAGAAGCGUAAUACCCUACUCCUGUGUUCUGGUGGAUAUGUGUGAGGAAGAGUUACAG
rnacentral:lncRNA from 1 species